GGAGAGAUGGCUGAGUGGUCGAAAGCGACGGUCUCGAAAAUCGUUACAGGAGCAAUCCUGUCAGGGGUUCAAAUCCCCUUCUCUCCGCCA
rnacentral:tRNA from 1 species